UUUUUGUUUUUGAGAAAUUCAUAUGUAACAUUAUGUUUACCAUCUUAUUGAAUAUAUUGUCAACUGCCUGAAAAGUCAUAGCAGUAAGUUAAAGCAAAAUAAUCUCAAUAAUCUCUUGAUUAAUUAAUAAUGAGUGAGGAUCAUAAUAUGUUAUUUUAGGUGUUUUUGUGUUGCAUCUUCCAGUGACACACAAGAUUGCUUUAUCCUGUGUAAUUGAGACAAGUGCACCUUGAAAGCUCCACCAGCCUGUAGACUUAGUGGUUGUACAGAGGAUGCAGUGGCAGUGUGUUGGGCAUAUAUGAGACCGCCCUCCAAAAAAAAACAAGUCUUGUUUGAUAGCAGUAUUAAGAAGCUUUAUUCUAGGUAUGAGAGUGUCAAACUUCAGCUGUCAUGAAGGUAGGAUUAAUAACUCCUUGUUUACAUAUGUAUGUCACUAAAAGGAUUUGAAAGUUGUAAGGAGCAUCUGUCUUCAAGUGUAACAUAACUUGAUCUUGCCAUAUUUUGUUUGGAACUUUUAUUGAAUUGAUCGAGAAUCAAUAUAUAACAUUAAUUUGGAAGCCUUCUUGUUCAUAUACUGUAAAUAGGAAUUUAUGCCAUAAUGUAUUAACUUGUUGAAAAGAAAAUGUGAAUUUUAAUUUUUGAUAAGUAGACAGGAAACCAAAUGUUUGCCAUCUUUUUGAAGCUUCUAAAAAUUACAUAGGGGAACUCAUGCAAUGACAGUAACCAUGUUAAUGGGUUUUAGAAAAGUAGAGACAAAGAAUAUAAGUUGUCAACUGCCUGGAAUUUCAUAGCAGUAAGUUAAAUGCAAAGUAAUCAAUAAUCUCUUCAUUAAUUAGUAAUGAGUGAGGAUCAUGAGAUGUUAUCUUAGGUAUUUUUAUGUUGCAUCUUCCAGUGACACAAAGCUCCACCACCCUGUAGGUGAGUGACCAAAAUACACACAGUCCUUUAUGCAUGCCAACGUAUACACUGUAUUAGGAAUUCCUAUUGUCAUGAAUGAACCUUGUUGAACAUGCAUGGCACUGAACUGUGAUGGUGCUGUAACAAUGUACUGCAGGAAGCUUCCCUUGCUGAUAAUCACUGAUAUUUUCAGACUUAGUGGUUGUACAGAGAAAGUAGUGGCAGUGUGUUGAGCAGUAUAUAUUGGACCCCAAAAGAACAAGUCUCGUUUGAUAUCAGUAUCAAAAAGAUUUAUUCAAGGUAUAAGAAGAGUGUCAAACUUCACCUAUUGUGAAGUGACACGCAAGAUUGUUUUAUCCUGUGUACAUGAGGAGACAAGUGUACCUUGAAAGCUCCACCAGCCUGUAGACUAUGUGGUUGUACAGAGAAAGCAGUGGCAGUGUAUUGAGCAGUAUAUAUUGGACCGCAAGUGAACAAGUCUUGUUUGAUAUCAGUAUUAAAAAGAUUUAUUCAAGGUAUAAGAAGAGUGUCAAACUUCAGCUAUUGUGAAGGUAUAAGAAGAGUGUCAAACUUCAGCUGUCGUGAAGUUACAUGCAAGAUUGUUUUAUCCUGUGUAGCUGAGGAGACAAGUACACCUUGAAAGCUCCUCCAACCUGUAGACUUAGUGGUUGUACAGAGAAAGCAGUGGCAGUGUGUUGAGGUAUAAGAAGAGUGUCAAACUUCAGCUGUCGUGAAGUUACAUGCAAGAUUGUUUUAUCCUGUGUAGCUGAGGAGACAAGUACACCUUGAAAGCUCCUCCAACCUGUAGACUUAGUGGUUGUACAGAGAAAGCAGUGGCAGUGUGUUGAGGUAUAAGAAGAGUGUCAAACUUCAGCUGUCGUGAAGUUACAUGCAAGAUUGUUUUAUCCUGUGUAGCUGAGGAGACAAGUACACCUUGAAAGCUCCUCCAACCUGUAGACUUAGUGGUUGUACAGAGAAAGCAGUGGCAGUGUGUUGAGGUAUAAGAAGAGUGUCAAACUUCAGCUGUCGUGAAGUUACAUGCAAGAUUGUUUUAUCCUGUGUAGCUGAGGAGACAAGUACACCUUGAAAGCUCCUCCAACCUGUAGACUUAGUGGUUGUACAGAGAAAGCAGUGGCAGUGUGUUGAGGUAUAAGAAGAGUGUCAAACUUCAGCUGUCGUGAAGUUACAUGCAAGAUUGUUUUAUCCUGUGUAGCUGAGGAGACAAGUACACCUUGAAAGCUCCUCCAACCUGUAGACUUAGUGGUCGUACAGAGAAAGCAGUGGCAGUGUGUUGAGGUAUAAGAAGAGUGUCAAACUUCAGCUGUCGUGAAGUUACAUGCAAGAUUGUUUUAUCCUGUGUAGCUGAGGAGACAAGUACACCUUGAAAGCUCCUCCAACCUGUAGACUUAGUGGUUGUACAGAGAAAGCAGUGGCAGUGUGUUGAGGUAUAAGAAGAGUGUCAAACUUCAGCUGUCGUGAAGUUACAUGCAAGAUUGUUUUAUCCUGUGUAGCUGAGGAGACAAGUACACCUUGAAAGCUCCUCCAACCUGUAGACUUGAUGGUUGUACAGAGGAUGCAGUGGCAGUGUGUUGAGGUAUGAGAAGAGUGUCAAACUUCAGCUAUUGUGAAGUGACACAAAAGAUUGUUUUAUCCUGUGUAGUUGAGGAGACAAUUGCACCUUGAAAGCUCCACCAGCCUGUAGACUUAGUGGUUGUACAGAGAAAGCAGUGGCAGUGUGUUGAGCAGUAUAUAUUGGACCCCAAGAGAACAAGUCUCGUUUGAAAUCAGUAUUAAAAAGAUUUUUUUCAAGGUAUAAGAAGAGUGUCAAACUUCAGCUAUUGUGAAGUGACACGCAAGAUUAUUUUAUCCUGUGUACCUGAGGAGACGAGUGUACCUUGAAAGCUCCACCAGCCUGUAGACUUAGUGGUUGUACAGAGAAAGUAGUGGCAGUGUGUUGAGCAGUAUAUAUUGGACCCCAAGAGAACAAGUCUCGUUUGAUAUCAGUAUUAAAAAGAUUUAUUCAAGGUAUAAGAAGAGUGUCAAACUUCAGCUAUUGUGAAGUGACAUGCAAGAUUGUUUUAUCCUGUGUACCUGAGGAGACAAGUGCACCUUGAAAGCUCCACCAGCCUGUAGACUUAGUGGUUGUACAGAGAAAGCAGUGGCAGUGUGUUGAGCAGUAUAUAUUGGACCCCAAGAGAACAAGUCUUGUUUGAUAUCAGUAUUAGAAAGAUUUAUUCAAGGUAUAAGAAGAGUGUCAAACUUCAGCUAUUGUGAAGUGACAUGCAAGAUUGUUUUAUCCUGUGUACCUGAGGAGACAAGUGCACCUUGAAAGCUCCACCAGCCUGUAGACUUAGUGGUUGUACAGAGAAAGCAGUGGCAGUGUGUUGAGCAGUAUAUAUUGGACCCCAAGAGAACAAGUCUUGUUUGAUAUCAGUAUUAAAAAGAUUUAUUCAAGGUAUAAGAAGAGUGUCAAACUUCAGCUAUUGUGAAGUGACAUGCAAGAUUGUUUUAUCCUGUGUACCUGAGGAGACAAGUGCACCUUGAAAGCUCCACCAGCCUGUAGACUUAGUGGUUGUACAGAGAAAGCAGUGGCAGUGUGUUGAGCAGUAUAUAUUGGACCCCAAGAGAACAAGUCUUGUUUGAUAUCAGUAUUAAAAAGAUUUAUUCAAGAAGAGUGUCAAACUUCAGCUAUCGUGUAGUGACACGCAAGAUUGUUUUAUCCUGUGUACCUGAGGAGACAAGUGUACCUUGAAAGCUCCACCAGCCUGUAGGUAUGAGAAGAGUGUCAAACUUCAGCUGUCGUGAAGUGACAAGCAAGAUUGUUUUAUCCUGUGUAGUUGAGGAGACAAGUGCACCUUGAAAGCCUCACCAACCUGUAGGCUUGGUUGUACAGAGGAUGCAAUGGCAGUGUGUUGAGGUGAGUUACCUUGAAGAACUAUUUGUUUCUGGACACAUGGAUCAGUCAGGUUUGAUAGGUGUCUGCUAGGACUAAAGUAUGUAAGGGGUGUUUUUGUUGUCCAAGAUCUUGUCCCUGAGAUCUUUGGAGGGUAAGCCUGUGUUCCCCACUUGCUCUUUGUACAUGUUUCAGUUUCUGAAGAUGGGAUCAAGUUGGUCCCAAAAUCUCUCGAAGUGUAUGAAUGGUAAUGGUGAUUUUAUUGCAGUCUUAACAUAACUAGUCUUCAGUUUUAUCUGAGUAUAAAAAACAUUAUUAAAUGUUUGUAAGAGUACAUUGAUAUAUAUAUAUAUAUAUA